AGUAUAAGCACUUAUACCGUGAAACUGCGAAUGGCUCAUUAAAUCAGUUAUAGUUUAUUUGAUAGUACCUUUACCUGGAUAACUGUGGUAAUUCUAGAGCUAAUACAUGCUAAAAACCUCGACUUCGGAAGGGGUGUAUUUAUUAGAUAAAAAACCAAUGCCCUUCGGGGCUCUUUGGUGAAUCAUGAUAACUUAACGAAUCGCAUGGCCUUGCGCCGGCGAUGGUUCAUUCAAAUUUCUGCCCUAUCAACUUUCGAUGGUAAGGUAGUGGCUUACCAUGGUUUCAACGGGUAACGGGGAAUUAGGGUUCGAUUCCGGAGAGGGAGCCUGAGAAACGGCUACCACAUCCAAGGAAGGCAGCAGGCGCGCAAAUUACCCAAUCCCGAUACGGGGAGGUGGUGACAAUAAAUACUGAUACGGGGCUCUUUCGGGUCUCGUAAUUGGAAUGAGUACAAUCUAAAUCCCUUAACGAGGAACAAUUGGAGGGCAAGUCUGGUGCCAGCAGCCGCGGUAAUUCCAGCUCCAAUAGCGUAUAUUAAAGUUGUUGCCGUUAAAAAGCUCGUAGUUGAACUUUGGCCCGGGUUGAUCUGUCCUCCUAAUCGAGCGCACGGAUUCGAUCUGGGCUUUCCUUCUGGGGAACCCGAUGUUCUUCAUUGAGCGUCGUGGGGAACCAGGACUUUUACCUUGAAAAAAUUAGAGUGUUCAAAGCAGGCCUUUGCUCGAAUACAUUAGCAUGGAAUAAUAGAAUAGGACAUCGGUUCUAUUUUGUUGGUUUCUAGGACCGCUGUAAUGAUUAAUAGGGAUAGUCGGGGGCGUCCGUAUUCA
rnacentral:rRNA from 1 species